UCCCAGGUAGUAUAGUGGCUAGUAUACUCGCCUGUCACGCGAGUGACCAAGGUUCGCGAUUCCCCGCCUGGGAG